CGGGUGUGGCUUCUCCCUUCUUUCCCGCUGGUCUGUCUCCUCCGCCGCCGCCCUCCACCGCCGCCUCCAGCUCCGGUGCCGCCCUCACCGCCACCUCAAUCCCUCCUUAGUCCUCAAACCCUAGGAACCGGCCGCUGCUACCUCCUCCUCAACCACUACUGCCUCUUCUCAUGUCAACCCGGCAGCCGGAAGUACGCACCGCGCCUGCCUCAGGCCCCGCCCCGGGCCGAUGGCCAAUCCUCGCGGGAAACUUCCGAGGGAGGCGGGGCCAAAGGGAGGUCCCGAAGAGUGGUGGGGAACACUUCCCUUUCUGCCUCUUUACUGCUCUUUCGUCAGGUCCCGCGAGACGUCGGGUCCGAGCUCUCUUGCUCCGCCCCGCCCUCCCCGGGCUUCCGGCUGAGACCUGGGCACGCGCUCUGUUACCUAGGCGACUCCCUGAGGGCCACCUGGAUUUAGUUCUGUCUUGGACUCCUUCCCAGGACCUAUGAAGUUCUUCAGGUUCAUAGCAUCACCUGGUGGUUUGAACUCCACCAAAAGGAAAUGCAUUGGAGAUUUCUAGAGGUAAGCCCUGACUUUUGGGGGAGUUUCCCUUUCAUCUCAGACACGGACAGGCAUCAGGUUUUUUUACCCUGAAGUCUUAGACUUUCCAUGGAAGGGAAAUAUACUUAUGUUUUCUACAGAUGUAAGCUCCUUUUCAUUGUACUUACAUUGCCCAAAUAAUUUAUGAUAAGAGUAGAAGGCCAAAUACUAGUCCUUCCUUCCCAUGCCAUAACUUUACUCUCUUGCUGAUCUGCUCACUUCCAGGGAUCACACACAAUCUUCUCUCAAGAGGCUUCUGCUACCCAGCACCUCCCUUUCUGAGCACAGAACAAGUCAAAUGGGUCCUUCACAGGUAGAUUCAAAGUUUCAAAGGCUUUCCUCCCCCUAAAUUGCUGAAGUUGAUCUGAAAACUUCUCUGAUCAACCAACCCCUUACAUAAAGAGUAGGAAAGUGUCUAAGAAGGGUAAAGUGACCUGACCAUCAGUUCACACAGUUACUUAAUGUCAAAGAACGGAUUUAAAUUGUAAAUAAAACAAAAUAUUCUCUCUUUUACUUCUCUACA
rnacentral:lncRNA from 1 species